ensembl:lncRNA
AACGUCCAAUCAACGUCCAAUUAUAACAUCAUUUGACUUUGAUCUUUAGUUUGUUUUUAGGUUGUGACAUUAACUAACCUAAACCCAACGUCGAGCCAACGUCUCAGGCCAACGUCAGAUUGACAUCAAAUACUGAUGUUUUGUCGUCAGGUAUGGCAACCAUAAUCCAACGUUUUCUAGACAUCAUAAUGGCAACAUCCACACAACGUCAAAUUAAAACAUCAUUUGAUGUUGAUCUGUAGUUAGUUUUAGGUUGUGGCAUUAACUAACCAAAAUCCAACAUCAAGACAACGUCUCAAGCCAACGUCAGAUUGACAUCAAAUACUGAUGUUUAGUCGUCAGGUAUGGCAACCAAAAUCCAAUGUCUUCAAGACGUCAUAAUGGUAACGUCCAAUCAACGUCAAAUUAUAACG